CCUCCUCGUGGACGGGGCGCAGUCGAGCGGUGAGGACGUUCAGCGCACGGUCGUCCGUGGUGCCGUUCAGGUCGCCGAGCAGGA
rnacentral:tRNA from 1 species